rnacentral:rRNA from 1 species
CGGACGGGUGAGUAAUGUCUGGGAAACUGCCCGAUGGAGGGGGAUAACUACUGGAAACGGUAGCUAAUACCGCAUAACGUCGCAAGACCAAAGAGGGGGACCUUCGGGCCUCUUGCCAUCGGAUGUGCCCAGAUGGGAUUAGCUAGUAGGUGGGGUAACGGCUCACCUAGGCGCGAUCCCUAGCUGGUCUGAGAGGAUGACCAGCCACACUGGAACUGAGACACGGUCCAG